rnacentral:misc_RNA from 1 species
UGGUGAACCAGCGGAGGGAUCAUUACCGAGUUCUAAACUCCCAAACCCCUGUGAACAUACCUAUCGUUGCCUCGGCGUAUGCGCCCCGGGCCCCCCGGGCACCGGAACCCGGCGCCGCCAAAGGACCUAAACUCUUGUAUUAGUACGUAUUCUGAGUGACACAAGCAAAUAAAUCAAAACUUUCAACAACGGAUCUCUUGGCUCUGG